CCGGUGUGCCAGUUUAGCUGGUGAUCAUGUUAACUGGUGAUAUUUGCAUGAAAUCAGUGAAUAUUCAACAUGGCCCUGCCCUGCGUUCUGCUCUGCCUCCUGUUUCCAAGUGAGACAAAAUAAUGGAUAUCGCUGAAAACAUCACCAGUUUAUGUGUAAUACAUGUCCGUUUAAGCAUUAUCCACACAAAUACGACACAUACUGUAUGAACGGAAAAAAAUAAAACGAAACAACGCACUAGAGAUCUAGCUGGGAUUCGAACCUUGGAUGUCA